GUAGGGUCAAAUAUGACGAGCAGGUGUCACCAUCUCACCACUAGGGGGGUGUCUGUGCAUCGUACAUGCGCUACCGUGUGAAAGAAGACGACGAGUGGCUGACGGGAGACUGACGUUGCACAGACACCACCACCAUUAAAACGGUUUACUUUUACAUGUGUUUAAGGGGAGAUUCUUUGGGGUAUGAAACACUGUUCAAGAAAACAAGGUACACGUCUUAGUUAAUGGCGAUUAUACAUUGAAAAGUCGUUGUUCUGUUGUAAAUGGUGUCAUUAUUAUAGGCAGGAGUAUGUGAACUAACUUGCUUAAAAACAGAAGCAUGCUAUAAAAUGGGAUUAAAAAGAAACAAGCUUGUAGAAGACAAGUUUACACAAAGUACUACCUACGCAUAGCAUGUAGCUGUAGCUAAGGUGACUCAUACAACACAAUACGAUACGAUCUGCAUGCGGCUACCAUCCCCCUUCCGCACAGCACAAUGCGCACAAGAAAGAAGUCACUACUGUGUGGUUAGUUAGUUUACCAGCUUUAUACAUAUCUCAUUUGAAUUGGUGCCAGGCAGUGCUGUAGUGGUAAAAUUAGAGGUGGGUAAACUCUGAAUUUUGUGAUCAUACAGACCUCGACGCGAUGCGAAGCAACGCAACACAAAGCGUCGCGACUGUGUAAGGCUGUCCUGGCUAUAUUGUAUUAUGUUAUCAGUAAAAGUUAUAUACAAUCAAUGACAAUGAAUAAAUGUGUUAGUAGUUUAUUACAUUUAAGAAAACAGUAAAGAAAAGUAUGUCAACACAACACAACAACACAAUUGCAGAUUAAGAACUAUCUCCUUUUUACAGUAGUGCCCAGAGAGCCUCCUUGUCCUCCACGUCAGGUCCUGCCUUGCACAGAGGAGCCAUGAAGCCCAGAACGCGUGUUCUGGGGUUCAUGGCUCCUCUGUGCUUCUCUCUCUCUAUUCGACCUGGUGUUUCUCCUCUCCCUGUGCUCUCUGCAUCACUGCCCGUCCUCUCACUUCCUGAAAAAAUAUGUUGAAUUUAAGAGUUAACCAGUUAAGCAGCCUGUCAAUUACACUGACACAUAAGUUAAAGGAACACUCAUGUACUACCUACGUCAUCAUAAAUAGCCUAUACAGCAUGUUUUUUUUUCACAAAGGUUGGGGACCACUGGGCUGAUCCGUGUGUUUACACACCUCCUGGAUCCUGAUUGGUCGCUGCUGCAGCCGCAAGGCACUGAUUGGCUGCUCACAGACCGUAAUACAGCGCAGAUGAAAAUUAUUUAGACUAUGGCGUUUAUAUGUUCAACAAUAGGAAACGUAGUCUUAGCUGUUUUAAAAUUACAACAAGUUUAUUUCGGAUUAUUCCAACGGAAUUAUACAAGGCGCAGGGAAGUUUGAGGUGCGUAAACACUAUUUAUAGGUGCGUAAACGCUAUUUCCAAAAUUUCAAGAGGUGCGUAAAUGGCGUUUACGUGCGUUUACCCUCCACUACAGCCCUGGUGCCAGGGGUUAGAUGAUGUAACGUAGGUAAGGUGUUCUUAAGCAACAUGGAUAGAUUCAAUCGUGUGUUACCUGACCUCGGUCGUGUUUUAGAAUGCGUACUCAAGGGACGAGAAGAAUGGGUUGAGCUGUAUUUUUGGAAAUACCGAAAGGGCCGUGGUUCUGCUCCCGAAAUACGCUAAUUAGCUUCAAUUAAAAGUGUUUUUUGUUGCACACUGACAAACACCUCAUCAGUAUGUUUUACGUAACACAAAGCGAACGCAACGCAAAUCAGAGAUAUAAAAGCUAGUAAACUAACUAACCACACAGCAGUGGACUCCAGGGCGGAUCCGCCGUCAGUUCGCCAGCUCCGCCCUGGGGUCAGCUCCGGUUUUGGUCUCACGCAUCAUAUCCACCCCGCCUACCGAUUUCUCAUUGUCAAACGGGACACCCGCUGCGGACACGAUUUGGAUCCGCACACGGAAGAGAUGUAUAAAGGGGUGUGAUGGCUGAAUGUGUGAAGUGCGUGUGACAACCUCUGGCGGUGAGGGCGGCAUGUGUGACGUACGUACAUGCAACAACUACGACGGGAGGACAACAGGAGGGUUAAGCUCCAUUUCACUAGCAAGGAGCACGCCAUCCACUGAAGGCGUUUGUCAUGAGUGAAAUUGAUUGAUUGAUGAUUAAUGAAUAUUUUAUCUGGUCGGUCGGGGUGGGUGGUGGAGAACUAUGUCGGAGGAUCCGCCGUGCGCCUGGUGGUUCGACGAACCCUUUCAGGGCCCUACGAAAAGCUGGGAAAAGAGGGAGAGGAAAGAAAAGGAAGGAAAAAGAAGUAAGUAAAGCGGGUUAUUUCGCUUCAUUCGCGUCCCAUUUUUUCCGUUUCAUUCGCGCCUAGAAGGGGGCAUGGCUUAUUUCCGUUACGUGUCUCCGUAAAGACAGUUAUCGUUUCUGCUAUCCAUCAUGGCAAUAAAUAACCACAAUUUCUGCUGUUUAUUUGUUUGUGAAAUUUGUGAAUUACACAAACGUGUUCGGGUUCAUGACAUCAUCCAUCGCCGCAUACAGCUUGAAUUUCAUCAACUUCUCCAGGAAGUGCGUCUGGAUGACUGCAGCUUCCAGCGCUGGUUCAGGCGGACCAGCAGCCGGUCUGAUGACCUGUUGUAUCGGCUGUCUCUCGGCUGUUGGGGCCAGCAACUCUCGGUUAGACACAAACUAACUUAUAGGCAUUCAGUCUCAGCUGUGUGUGUGUCUCUGGUGAGCGCCAGUGUAAUAAAGUGUAUUUACGCUGUGGCAGCAGGACGGCGGUGAUGGGCGCUUUAUUUAGUUUGCACGUUCGGCUUUUCGCGCGUUUUGCUUUUUCGCGCCGCGUCUUUCGCGUCGUUCGCACCGCUCACGCCAUUCACACCGCUUACGCCAUUCGCGCCAAUCAACGAGCAAAAAGUAAUGCCCAUACUUCCUUCUUAUGAGGGGGUCCGAGUCGGGGAACGUUCUUCUCAACUGUCUGCCUCUGAAGCCAGUGUCGACGAAAGGUUUUCACCGCUCCUCCAACGUCUUUCCACACCACACCGCCGCGCCCUGCCUAGGUGGAAGACCCCGAACAAGAAACUCGUCAUUUUAGGACACUCGCCCGCUCACUCACUCACUCGCGUGUGGUAAUGAACGCUUACCCGGGUCACAGAGGGCUGUGCGGCAGAUAGCUCAUGUCUAUCGCUGCGUGAUGAUGUGGACUUUGGCAUUGCGUUGAGAACCUCUCUUCAAGUCAGCGUAAAAAGAUCCCGCAACUGUAAACAAAUGGAAAGACAAACACAUUGCACUUGUAAAAAUAAUAAACAGUUCAGAGUUACUUUACUUACUUACUAAUACUUUUCCAAGAUUCAAGCUAAACAACCGCUCUCGCAAAAACCUCUGGUAACCCCCUUCUCUGUUGACUAGCAUUGACACAGAGCUCUACAC
ensembl:lncRNA